rnacentral:rRNA from 1 species
GGUCCCUAUCUGCCGUGGGCGUUGGAAACUUGAGAAGAGCUGCUCCUAGUACGAGAGGACCGGAGUGGACGUAUCUCUGGUGUUCCGGUUGUCACGCCAGUGGCAUUGCCGGGUAGCUAUAUACGGAAGGGAUAACCGCUGAAAGCAUCUAAGCGGGAAGCCCCCUUCAAGAUUAGGUUUCCCUGGAGCCUCGAGCUCCCUGAAGGGCCCUCGAAGACUACGAGGUUGAUAGGCUGGGUGUGGAAGUUCAGUAAUGGAUGAAGCUAACCAGUACUAAUUGCCCGUGAGGCUUGGCCAU